rnacentral:rRNA from 1 species
GAUUAACGCUAGCGGCAGGCCUAAUACAUGCAAGUUGUACGGGAUUAUUGGUAGCAAUACUGAUAUGAGAGUAGCGCACGGGUGCGUAACACGUAUGCAACCUACCUUUAACUGGGGAAUAGCUCACCGAAAGGUGAAUUAACACCGCAUAAAAUCACAGAAGGACAUCCUUUAAUGAUUAAAUCUCCGGAGGUUAAAGAUGGGCAUGCGUCCGAUUAGCUAGNGG